rfam:Avian infectious bronchitis virus pol protein, spike protein, small virion-associated protein, membrane protein, and nucleocapsid protein genes, complete cds.
ACUUAAGAUAGAUAUUAAUAUAUAUCUAUUACACUAGCCUUGCGCUAGAUUUUUAACUUAACAAAACGGACUUAAAUACCUACAGCUGGUCCUCAUAGGUGUUCCAUUGCAGUGCACUUUAGUGCCCUGGAUGGCACCUGGCCACCUGUCAGGUUUUUGUUAUUAAAAUCUUAUUGUUGCUGGUAUCACUGCUUGUUUUG